UCUUUCCCUUUCCCUCAUUUUCGCGCCUCCCCCCUUCCCCUUUCCUCUCUGAUCCGCGCCUCUCCACCAUCUCUUCGUCCCCACCACCGCCGUUUGCCCACGCCGCUCCCUUCCACUUACCUAUGUCCCCCACGCUCUUCUCUCUCUUCUUCACAAGCAAAACGCUAGUUAACCCCCUAUAAAUAUUUGCUUCCUAAUCUGCUUAAAGGGGGAUUUUUUUUUGGAUUCAUGAAAUUUCCCAAGAACUAGGUAAUAUUGAGUUCUUCAGCCGCUGAAUUAGUUUGUUUUUUUAGCAGUCAUAAUAUCGAUUAAUAUCGAAAAAAACAUACCAGACGUUUUUUUCCCUUUUUUUUUACUGCUUCGAAUCCAAGUGAUACCAACUCGGAAGUUCGUGGUGUUUCGAGGUAGAUCGGAGACUCAAAGCCUCACUUCGCUGCACCCGAAGAAGGUAUGAAGAGAAGAUAUGAAGAGAAGCCUUCAGCGAAGAGUCAGAAUGUGAAGAAAAAUGGUCGCUAUAGUAGAGAAGAAAAGCUCAAUAGAAACCCCUCUCCAAGUGCCUCAGGGCCGGCUCAAUGGGAAAGCAAAUGUGUUAGGCCCCAAAAAUUGGACACCCCAAAAGUCUUACUCCCUCCGUGCCAAUUUAUGUGACAUUCUUUCCUUUUUAGUCAGUUUCAAAAAUUUCGAUGGAUAAAAAUUUGGCUUGUUGGUAAGGGAUUUUUGCCUAAAAAAUAAAAAUAAAAAUCAAAUACAUAUAUACGUAUAGAAUUUAUUAAACAAAUUUAUGGCCUCUUAUUGAGGUUUAGCAUUAGGUCACCAAUUUCGUGAAGCCGCCCCUGGUGACGGGGAGCGGAUGGAAAAUAUAAGCUAUGGGUUAAGCUGAACCUAGUAGCUUUGACUCAAAUUGUUUAUAUGUGCAAUCUACUAAAUAUGUACAAAUAUUAAAUUUCUAACUCAAUAACUCAAUUGGUCAGUGGGUUCAGUGGCAUCCCGAACCCAUAAAGUUCAAAUCUUGGAUCCACCUUGUGACAAGUUGAAGUUUUGGAAAUAAUAUUGAAGUUAGUUUCGAAAUAUUAGAAAUAUUUAAAAAGUUAUAAUUGAAAAUGAUCGUGAAGAAACUGCUGGCCUAAUAAUAGUAGCCAUAGAUGGAAUGGGAUAACGAGUGUAAUAAAAAAAUAAAAACGAUUUUUCCUUUGUUUGUGUUCUGUUAUUUGCCAAAAGUUCCCAUUUUUUUUAUUUUUUUAUUGUUUUUGGGGUGGGUGGUGGU